GAUGAACGCUAGCUACAGGCUUAACACAUGCAAGUCGAGGGGCAGCAUGGUCUUAGCUUGCUAAGGCCGAUGGCGACCGGCGCACGGGUGAGUAACACGUAUCCAACCUGCCGUCUACUCUUGGACAGCCUUCUGAAAGGAAGAUUAAUACAAGAUGGCAUCAUGAGUCCGCAUGUUCACAUGAUUAAAGGUAUUCCGGUAGACGAUGGGGAUGCGUUCCAUUAGAUAGUAGGCGGGGUAACGGCCCACCUAGUCUUCGAUGGAUAGGGUUCUGAGAGGAAGGUCCCCCACAUUGGAACUGAGACACGGUCCAAACUCCUACGGGAGGCAGCAGUGAGGAAUAUUGGUCAAUGGGCGAGAGCCUGAACCAGCCAAGUAGCGUGAAGGAUGACUGCCCUAUGGGUUGUAAACUUCUUUUAUAAAGGAAUAAAGUCGGGUAUGGAUACCCGUUUGCAUGUACUUUAUGAAUAAGGAUCGGCUAACUCCGUGCCAGCAGCCGCGGUAAUACGGAGGAUCCGAGCGUUAUCCGGAUUUAUUGGGUUUAAAGGGAGCGUAGAUGGAUGUUUAAGUCAGUUGUGAAAGUUUGCGGCUCAACCGUAAAAUUGCAGUUGAUACUGGAUAUCUUGAGUGCAGUUGAGGCAGGCGGAAUUCGUGGUGUAGCGGUGAAAUGCUUAGAUAUCACGAAGAACUCCGAUUGCGAAGGCAGCCUGCUAAGCUGCAACUGACAUUGAGGCUCGAAAGUGUGGGUAUCAAACAGGAUUAGAUACCCUGGUAGUCCACACGGUAAACGAUGAAUACUCGCUGUUUGCGAUAUACAGCAAGCGGCCAAGCGAAAGCGUUAAGUAUUCCACCUGGGGAGUACGCCGGCAACGGUGAAACUCAAAGGAAUUGACGGGGGCCCGCACAAGCGGAGGAACAUGUGGUUUAAUUCGAUGAUACGCGAGGAACCUUACCCGGGCUUAAAUUGCAGAUGAAUUACGGUGAAAGCCGUAAGCCGCAAGGCAUCUGUGAAGGUGCUGCAUGGUUGUCGUCAGCUCGUGCCGUGAGGUGUCGGCUUAAGUGCCAUAACGAGCGCAACCCUUGUUGUCAGUUACUAACAGGUUCCGCUGAGGACUCUGACAAGACUGCCAUCGUAAGAUGUGAGGAAGGUGGGGAUGACGUCAAAUCAGCACGGCCCUUACGUCCGGGGCUACACACGUGUUACAAUGGGGGGUACAGAGGGCCGCUACCACGCGAGUGGAUGCCAAUCCCCAAAACCUCUCUCAGUUCGGACUGGGGUCUGCAACCCGACUCCACGAAGCUGGAUUCGCUAGUAAUCGCGCAUCAGCCACGGCGCGGUGAAUACGUUCCCGGGCCUUGUACACACCGCCCGUCAAGCCAUGGGAGCCGGGGGUACCUGAAGUGCGUAACCGCGAGGAGCGCCCUAGGGUAAAACUGGAAAC
rnacentral:rRNA from 1 species